CUUGUCGAUCUUGUGGACGAGCGUGUUCAUCUCGGCCUGGAAGUCGUCGUACAAGGGCUUGACGUCGGAGUUGAAGGCGUACUCGGCGAGGCUAUCCAUGGGCGCCCUGUGGCUGACGGCUUCCAGGGCGUCGUCCAGCAAGACGUGGGUCACCGCCGCGAGGCCUCGCAGCGCUCGCAGAUAAUCGGAUGGUCGUCGCGGCGGCGCCGGCGGUGCGCCGCCGCCGUCGCCUUUCUGGCACUGCACCGCCGUCAGAGGCGUCUUGGGAGGCAGCAAUUACGUUGGCUCGCCGCCGGCGAGAUGGCCGGCGAGGUAAGCGGACUCCUCCUGAUCGACAAUGCCGUCGCCGGCGAACACGAAAAGAGACAGCUCUGCAGCGUGGUGGCCAUGGCGAUCGAGCAGAUUGUUGGACACGAUCGAGAACAAUGUACUGUUCCAAUUGCAGAAAGUGGCGAUCAAGUAGCUUGUCGGCCACGAUCGAAACAAUGUACUGUUGCAAUUGCAGACUCAGAGAGUUAG
rnacentral:lncRNA from 1 species